CGACUCAGACAACACCAAACUGCAAAUUUGGAGAAGAACUUCGGUUCCUGGGUCU
rnacentral:tRNA from 1 species